UCCAAGAUACGAAAGCCUCGGUUUAUAUAUUGAUCCACACUUAAGAAAGUAUUCUCUAAUGACAUAACAGGUUGCUGAUCUAUCCUCAAACCUUGAAUAAGUGAGCAUAUGAUGUUUAAUGGUGCAUGAUGCUCUAUCUUCUUUUCAUGUUUUCUCUCUAUGGUACCUGGAUUUCUCUUGUGGCAACGUUAUGUGUACACCUUGUUUUUCAGGUUAUCUUGUACUUUUCUUUUUUUAUUCCUCCAUUGCUUUUUUUAACAUUUUUGAGCCAAUGUAGUAUCAUAGGCUCAUAGCAACUCAAUGACUCAUUUUCUUGUUUUUUUCUUCAUUUGAAUUAUCUCUGGAACUCUGGAA